rnacentral:ncRNA from 1 species
AUGAAACCGUAGAUCAAGAGUAGUAAAAAUAAUUGGGUGUAUCCAGAGAGCUGCAGAAGGUGUGAGUGCAGCAGCAUAGAUUAUUUUGAAUGGGCUUGGGAGGGCAGUCUGAACAUUUCGAUUGAGAUUAGUAGGUGCUGACGGAGGCCGCCGUUAUCGGUAAUAUGUAUAGUUGUACAUGUAUGAGAGGGUUUUGCCAAUUUGGGUGGUACCGCAGAAGUUUCAGCUUUUGUCCCAUAA